GUGGGGCGCCUAAUCUGCAGUCGACGCUUUGAUUUUCCCGGAGCUUGCUCCACCGAAAAUCAAAGAGUGGCGGACGGGUGAGUAACACGUGGGCAACCUGCCCAUCAUAGGGGGAUAACACUUGGAAACAGGUGCUAAUACCGCAUAAUUUGUUUUCCCGCAUGGGAGAAUAAUAAAAGACGCUUCUGUGUCACUGUGGGAUGGGCCCGCGCUGCAUUAAAUAGUUGGUGGGGGAAAGGACUACCAAGACCGCGAUGAAUAUCCGACCUGAGAGGGUGAUCGGCCACACUGGGACUGAGACACGGGCCACACUCCUACGGGAGGCAGCAGAAGGGAAUCUUCUCUAAUGGACGAAAGUCUGACCGAGCAACACCGCGUGAGUGAAGAAAGUUUUUUGAUCGUAAAACUCUGUUGUUAGAGAAGAACAAGUGGGAGAGUAACUGUUCUCACCUUGACGGUAUCUAACCAGAAAGCCACGGCUAACUACGUGCCAGCAGCCGCGGUAAUACGUAGGUGGCAAGCGUUGUCCGGAUUUAUUGGGCGUAAAGCGAGCGCAGGCGGUUUCUUAAGUCUGAUGUGAAAGCCCUCGGCUCAACCGAGGAAGGUCAUUGGAAACUGGGGAACUUGAAUGCAGAAGAGGAGAGUGGAAUUCCAUGUGUAGCGGUGAAAUGCGUAGAUAUAUGGAGGAACACCAGUGGCGAAGGCGACUCUCUGGUCUGUAAUUGACGCUGAGGCUCGAAAGCGUGGGGAGCAAACAGGAUUAGAUACCCUGGUAGUCCACGCCGUAAACGAUGAGUGCUAAGUGUUGGAGGGUUCCGCCCUUCAGUGCUGCAGUUAACGCAUAAGCACACCGCUGGAUGCCA
rnacentral:rRNA from 1 species